rnacentral:lncRNA from 1 species
AUGUUGUAUUUUUAAAUAAUUUUCUUAAAACUGUUAUUUUUGGAAAGUUUUCAUUUAUUAGAAAAAUACUGUAGAUUUGAGCUUGUGAUUUAGAAAUUUGGAUAACAAGAAUAUUUGGAGAUAGAUGAGUAUUCUUUCAGAAUUUUUCAUCAAUGUGUUGUAUUUUUAAAUAAUUUUCUUAAAAACUGCUAUUUUGGAAAGUUUUCAUUUUUUGUGAAAUAUUGCAGAUUUAGGUUUGUGAUUUAGAAAUUCGGAUAACAAGAACAGUUUUGGAUAGAUGAGUAUUCUUUCGAAGUUUUUCAUCAAUAUGUUGUAUUUUUAAAUAGUUUUCUUAAAAACUGCUAUUUUUGGAAAGCAUUGAUUUUUUGAGAAAAAUUGUAGAUUUAGGUUUGUGAUUUAGAAAUUAGGAUAAAAGGAAUAGUUUUGGAUAGAUGAGUAUUCUUUCUCAGUUUUUCAUCAAUAGAUUGUAUUUUUAAAUAAUGUUUCUUAAAAACUGCUUUUUUUGGAAAGUUUUCAUUUUUGAGAAAUAUUGUAAGUUGUGGUUUGUAAUUUAGAAAUUCGGAUGACAAAAAUAAUUUUGGAUAGAUGAGUAUUCUUUUAAGAAAUUUUCAUCAAUAUGUUGUAUUUUUAAAUAAUUUUCUUAAAAACGACUAUUUUUGGAAAGUUUUCAUUUAUUAGAGAAAUACUGUAGAUGAAUAUUUUUUUCAGAAUUUUUCAUCAAUGUGUUGUAUUUUUAAAUAAUUUUCUUAAAAACUGCUAUUUUUGGAAAGUUUUCAUCUAUUAGAGAAAUACUGUAGAUUUGAGCGUGUGAUUUAGAUAUUAGGAUAACAAGAAUAUUUGUGGAUAGUUUAGUAUUAUUCAGAGUUUUUCAUCAGUAUGUUGUACUUUUAAAUAAUUUUCUUAAAAACUGUUAUUUUUGGAAAUUUUUCAUUUAUUAGAGAAAUACUGUAGAUUUGAGUUUGUGAUUUAGAAUUAGGAUAACAAAAAUAUUUGUGGAUAGAUGAGUAUUCAUUCUGUGUUUUUCAUCAGUAUGUUGUAUUUUUAAAUAAAUUUUCUUAUAAACUGUUAUUUUUGGAAAGUUUUCAUUUAUUAGAGAAAUAUUGUAGAUUUGAGUUUGCGAUUUAGAAAUUAGGAUAACAUAAAUAUUUAUGGAUAGUUUAGUAUUAUUCAGAGUUUUUCAUCAGUAUGUUGUAUUUUUAAAUAAAUUUUCUUAUAAACUGUUAUUUUUGGAAAGUUUUCAUUUAUUAGAGAAAUAUUGUAGAUUUGAGUUUGCGAUUUAGAAAUUAGGAUAACAUAAAUAUUUAUGGAUAGUUUAGUAUUAUUCAGAGUUUUUCAUCAGUAUGUUGUAUUUUUAAAUAAUUUUCUUAAAAACUGCGAUUUUUGUAAAUUUUUCAUUUAUUAGAGAAAUACUGUAGAUUUGAGUUUGUGAUUUAGAAUUAGGAUAACACGAAUAUUUGUGGAUAGAUGAGUAUUCUUUCUGAGUUUUUCUUCAAUAGUUUGUAUUUUUAAAUAGUUUUCUUAAAACUGGUAUUUUUGGAAAGUUUUCAUUUAUUAGAGAAAUACUGUAGAUUUGAGUUUGCGAUUUAGAAAUUAGGAUAACAAAAAUAUUUAUGGAUAGAUGAAUAUUCUUUCAGAAUUUUUCAUCAAUGUGUUGUAUUUUUAAAUAAUUUUCUUAAAAACUGUUAUUUUUGGAAAGUUUUCAUCUGUUAAAGAAAUACUGUAGAUUUGGGCUUGUGAUUUAGAUAUUAGAAUAACAAGAAUAUUUGUGGAUAGUUUAGUAUUAUUCAGAGUUUUUCAUCAGUAUGUUGUAUUUUUAAAUAAUUUUCUUAAAAACGACUAUUUUCUGAAAGUUUUCAUCUAUUAGAGAAAUACUGUAGAUUUGAGUUUGUGAUAUAGAAAUUAGGAUAAAAUAAAUAUUUAUGGAUAGAUGAAUAAUCUUUCAGAAUUUUUCAUCAAUCUGUUGUAUUUUUAAAUAAUUUUCUUAAAAACUGCUAUUUUUGGAAAGUUUUCAUUUAUUAGAGAAAUACUGUAGAUUUGAGUUUGUGAUUUAGAAUUAGGAUAACACGAAUAUUUGUGGAUAGAUGAGUAUUCUUUCUGAGUUUUUCAUCGGUAGGUUGUAUUUUUAAAUAGUUUUCUUAAGAACUGCUAUUUUUGGAAAGUUUUCAUUUAUUAGAGAAAUACUGUACAUUUGAGUUUGCGAUUUAUAAAUUACAAUUUUUCAUCAAUGUGAUGUAUUUUUAAAUAAUUUUCUUAAAAACUGCUAUUUUUAGAAAGUUUUCAUCUAUUAGAAUAAUACUGCAGAUUUGAGUUUGUGAUUUAGAAAUUAGGAUAACAUAAAUAUUUAUGGAUAGAUGAGUAUUCUUUCAGAAUUUUUCAUCAAUGUGUUGUAUUUUUAAAUAAUUUUCUUAAAAACUGCUAUUUUUAGAAAGUUUUCAUUUAUUAGAGAAAUACUGUAGAUUUGAGUUUGUGAUUUAAAAAUUAGGAUAACAUAAAUAUUUGUGAAUAGAUGAGUAUUCUUUCAGAAUUUUUCAUCAAUGUGUUGUAUUUUUAAAUAAUUUUCUUAAAAACUGCUAUUUCUGGAAAGUUUUCAA